AACGAACGCUGGCGGCAUGCCUAACACAUGCAAGUCGAACGAGACCUUCGGGUCUAGUGGCGCACGGGUGCGUAACGCGUGGGAAUCUACCCUUGGGUUCGGAAUAACUCAGAGAAAUUUGAGCUAAUACCGGAUGAUGUCGCAAGACCAAAGAUUUAUCGCCCAAGGAUGAGCCCGCGUAGGAUUAGCUUGUUGGUGAGGUAAAAGCUCACCAAGGCGACGAUCCUUAGCUGGUCUGAGAGGAUGAUCAGCCACACUGGGACUGAGACACGGCCCAGACUCCUACGGGAGGCAGCAGUGGGGAAUAUUGGGCAAUGGGCGCAAGCCUGAUCCAGCAAUGCCGCGUGGAUGAUGAAGGCCUUAGGGUUGUAAAGUCCUUUCGGCGGGGACGAUGAUGACGGUACCCGGAGAAUAAGUCCCGGCUAACUUCGUGCCAGCAGCCGCGGUAAU
rnacentral:rRNA from 1 species